rnacentral:rRNA from 1 species
AGUUUGAUCAUGGCUCAGAUUUGAACGCUUGGCGGCAGGCCUAACACAUGCAAAGUCGAACGGUAACAGGGAAGAAGCUUGCUUCUUUGCUGACGAGUGGCGGACGGGUGAGUAAUGUCUGGGAAACUGCCUGAUGGAGGGGGAUAACUACUGGAAACGGUAGCUAAUACCGCAUAACGUCGCAAGACCAAAGAGGGGGACCUUCGGGCCUCUUGCCAUCGGAUGUGCCCAGAUGGGAUUAGCUAGUUGGUGGGGUAACGGCUCACCUAGGCGACGAUCCCUAGCUGGUCUGAGAGGAUGACCAGCCACACUGGAACUGAGACACGGUCCAGACUCCUACGGGAGGCAGCAGUGGGGAAUAUUGCACAAUGGGCGCAAGCCUGAUGCAGCCAUGCCGCGUGUAUGAAGAAGGCCUUCGGGUUGUAAAGUACUUUCAGCGGGGAGGAAGGGAGUAAAGUUAAUACCUUUGCUCAUUGACGUUACCCGCAGAAGAAGCACCGGCUAACUCCGUGCCAGCAGCCGCGGUAAUACGGAGGGUGCAAGCGUUAAUCGGAAUUACUGGGCGUAAAGCGCACGCAGGCGGUUUGUUAAGUCAGAUGUGAAAUCCCCGGGCUCAACCUGGGAACUGCAUCUGAUACU